rnacentral:rRNA from 1 species
GAUGAACGCUGGCGGCGUGCCUAAUACAUGCAAGUCGAGCGAACAGACGAGGAGCUUGCUCCUCUGACGUUAGCGGCGGACGGGUGAGUAACACGUGGAUAACCUACCUAUAAGACUGGGAUAACUUCGGGACACCGGAGCUAAUACCGGAUAAUAUAUUGAACCGCAUGGUUCAAUAGUGAAAGACGGUUUUGCUGUCACUUAUAGAUGGAUCCGCGCCGCAUUAGCUAGUUGGUAAGGUAACGGCUUACCAAGGCAACGAUGCGUAGCCGACCUGAGAGGGUGAUCGGCCACACUGGAACUGAGACACGGUCCAGACUCCUACGGGAGGCAGCAGUAGGGAAUCUUCCGCAAUGGGCGAAAGCUUGACGGAGCAACGCCGCGUGAGUGAUGAAGGUCUUCGGAUCGUAAAACUCUGUUAUUAGGGAAGAACAAAUGUGUAAGUAACUAUGCACGUCUUGACGGUACCUAAUCAGAAAGCCACGGCUAACUACGUG